UCAGAUUGCCCAUGUACUUUUACGCCACUUAAUACACUGAAAGUACAUCUUUCAGAAAUCCAUCUGUGGCAGCGGGGGCGUGUCGGUUUGUAAAUAGAGGGCGGGGCCGGGUGCAGGUAGGCAGGGGAUUGCCUCACCUGAAGCUGGUUUUGAUCUAACGACUGUUCUCUCUUUCCAGUGAUUGGAAGGUGCAUAUAAGGAGGAGAGAGCAGGGGUGUGUGUGCGCUUGUGCGCCAGAGACGUGCUGCGUGGGCAACAAGCAGACAGACACUAUAUUAAACAGCGGAAAUAAAUAAAAGCGGCGGUGAAGCCUUUUGCACCUGACCUCUCCCACACCAUCCCCCACAAAGAAGUGUGUUAUCAGGGAGGUCUAGUAAUGGUGUAGUAUGUUACAAAUGCCAUGUUUGUGAUUUAGUGGAGCUAUGCAGUGACUAAUUAUGUCUAAUAAUGUGACUGUAGUGAUGUUGCUGUCAGGGGAAAAAGAGGUGCAACAGACAACAUGCAGAAGAAAGGCAUUAAAAAACCUAGAUGGUUUUAAUUAAAUUUCUUAAAGCUAGUUUUUUUCUUUAGAAACAAAUCUUGUUUUACUUUUUCUGCUAGAAAAAGGCCAGUUGAUGCCACAUUUCUCUCUAUUAUUGAUUAUGGUGAUCUGUUUUAUAUAAAUGCCCCAUCAAAGUGUCUUCAGAUGUUGGAUGCUGUGUUUCAUGGAGCUUUAAGGUUCAUAUUAAGGUCACUGAUACCUGCGACUGAGACAUUUGAGAUUGCAGCUCCUUGGUGAUUCCAGCAGACCUCUUCAGACUCUUGGAUAAAGACCCCAGCAGAUACUCAUACAGAGAAAUUCAUCGUUUCUGUUGUACAUUUUUAUUGCAUUUCAUUACUUAGGGUUUAAUUAUAUUUACAGUAGUCUAGAUUAGUGAGUUUAGAUUUUUCUGUAGGUAAGUUUUAGAAUAGUUCUUUAGAUUAGAUUAGUGUAGGUUAGGUUUUUUAUAUAUUGUAGGUCAUAUUACCAGCAGAUUGUUUCCGUUGUUGUGACUAAUUGUUUCCUUUGAGCUGUUUAGAAUUUUUUUCAGGUUUCAUCCACUUACACCAGAAAGCAAAUUUUGAAGUAUGUGUCUUAACUGAUCAAAUAACAUAAGUGAUCAAUAAUA